UACGUAGGUGGCGAGCGUUGUCCGGAAUUACUGGGUGUAAAGGGCGUGUAGGCGGGUUUGCAAGUCAGAUGUGAAAUUCCAGGGCUCAACCCUGGCGCUGCAUCUGAAACUGCAGAUCUUGAGUGCUGGAGAGGAAAGCGGAAUUCCUAGUGUAGCGGUGAAAUGCGUAGAUAUUAGGAGGAACACCAGUGGCGAAGGCGGCUUUCUGGACAGUAACUGACGCUGAGGCGCGAAAGCGUGGGGAGCAAACAGG
rnacentral:rRNA from 1 species